AUCUAUUCUCAGGGCGGGGCGAAAUUCCCCACCGGCGGUAAGUCAUCAUGAUAAGCCCGCGAGCGCUGAUACUGAGUAUCAGGGUCAGCAGAUCUGGUGUGAAUCCAGAGCCGACGGUUAUAGUCCGGAUGGGAGAGGAUAAGU
rnacentral:ncRNA from 1 species